AGGGAAUUUUCCGCAAUGGGCGAAAGCCUGACGGAGCAACGCCGCGUGAGUGAGGACGGCCUUCGGGUUGUAAAACUCUGUUCUUGAGGAAGAAUUCCUUCCGGGCGAACAGCCUGGGAGGUUGACGGUACUCAAGGAGAAAGCCCCGGCUAACUACGUGCCAGCAGCCGCGGUAAUACGUAGGGGGCGAGCGUUAUCCGGAAUUAUUGGGCGUAAAGCGCGCGCAGGCGGCCGAUUAAGUCAGGUGUGAAAGGCUGCGGCUCAACCGCAGAGCGGCACCUGAAACUGGUCGGCUUGAGUGCAGGAGAGGGGAGCGGAAUUCCCGGUGUAGCGGUGGAAUGCGUAGAGAUCGGGAGGAACACCAGUGGCGAAGGCGGCUCUCUGGCCUGUAACUGACGCUGAGGCGCGAAAGCGUGGGGAGCAAAC
rnacentral:rRNA from 1 species